GGCCUUGCGCUCUUUGAGCGGCCGACGUCAGAUUAGCUAGUUGGUGAGGUAAAGGCUUACCAAGGCGACGAUCUGUAGCGGGUCUGAGAGGAUGAUCCGCCACACUGGAACUGAGACACGGUCCAGACUCCUACGGGAGGCAGCAGUGGGGAAUUUUGGACAAUGGGGGCAACCCUGAUCCAGCCAUGCCGCGUGAGUGAAGAAGGCCUUCGGGUUGUAAAGCUCUUUCGGCCGGGAAGAAAUCGCAUGGGCCAAUACCCUGUGUGGAUGACGGUACCGGAAUAAGAAGCACCGGCUAACUACGUGCCAGCAGCCGCGGUAAUACGUAGGGCGCGAGCGUUAAUCGGAAUUACUGGGCGUAAAGCGUGCGCAGGCGGUUUUGUAAGACAGGCGUGAAAUCCCCGGGCUUAACCUGGGAACUGCGUUUGUGACUGCAAGGCUAGAGUACGGCAGAGGGGGGUGGAAUUCCACGUGUAGCAGUGAAAUGCGUAGAGAUGUGGAGGAACACCAAUGGCGAAGGCAGCCCCCUGGGUCGAUACUGACGCUCAUGCACGAAAGCGUGGGUAGCAAACAGGAUUAGAUACCCUGGUAGUCCACGCCCUAAACUAUGUCAACUAGGUGUUGGGUGGGUAAAACCAUUUAGUACCGUAGCUAACGCGUGAAGUUGACCGCCUGGGGAGUCCGGCCGCAAGGUUAAAACUCGAAGGAAUUGACGGGGACCCGCACAAGCGGUGGAUGAUGUGGAUUAAUUCGAUGCAACGCGAGAAACCUUACCUACCCUUGACAUGCCAGAAACUUGCCAGAGAUGGCUUGGUGCCCGAAAGGGAGCCUGGACACAGGUGCUGCAUGGCUGUCGUCAGCUCGUGUCGUGAGAUGUUGGGUUAAGUCCCGCAACGAGCGCAACCCUUGUCGUUAAUUGCCAUCAUUUGGUUGGGCACUUUAACGAGACUGCCGGUGACAAACCGGAGGAAGGUGGGGAUGACGUCAAGUCCUCAUGGCCCUUAUGGGUAGGGCUUCACACGUCAUACAAUGGUCGGUACAAAGGGUUGCCAAGCCGCGAGGCGGAGCCAAUCCCAGAAAGCCGAUCGUAGUCCGGAUUGCAGGCUGCAACUCGCCUGCAUGAAGUCGGAAUCGCUAGUAAUCGUGGAUCAGCAUGUCACGGUGAAUACGUUCCCGGGUCUUGUACACACCGCCCGUCACACCAUGGGAGCGGGUUCCGCCAGAAGUAGGUAGCCUAACCGC
rnacentral:rRNA from 1 species